ensembl:snRNA U6 U6 spliceosomal RNA
GUGCUUGCUUCGGGAGCACAUACACUAAAAUUGGAAUGAUAAAGAGAUUAGCAUAGUCCCUGCACCAGGAUGACAUGCAAAUUUGUGAAGCGUUCCGUAUUUUU